rnacentral:rRNA from 1 species
AGAGUUUGAUCCUGGCUCAGAAUGAACGUUGGCGGCGUGGAUUAGGCAUGCAAGUCGAGCGAGAACCCGCAAGGGGGACAGCGGCAAACGGGGUAGUAACGGGUAGGUGACGUACCCUCGGGUCGGGGAUAGCCACGGGAAACUGUGGGUAAUACCCGAUAAUCUCUGCAGGCGUGAUGUCUGGAGAGCAAAGGUGAGAUUCCACCUGGGGAGCGGCCUGCUUCGUAUUAGCUAGUUGGUGAGGUAACGGCUCACCAAGGCGACGAUGCGUAGGGGGUGUGAGAGCAUGACCCCCACCACUGGGACUGAGAUACUGCCCAGACACCUACGGGUGGCUGCAGUCGAGAAUCUUCGGCAAUGGGCGCAAGCCUGACCGAGCGACGCCGCGUGUGGGAUGAAGGCCCUUGGGUUGUAAACCACUGUCAGAGGGGAUGAAAUG